rnacentral:misc_RNA from 1 species
AAGACUAUAGACCUGCGGAGUACCUGCGGAAGGAUCAUUAUUGAAUACAACUUGGUCUGGGUUGUUGCUGGUUUCUAUGAAACAGGUGCACAUCCAUUCCAUUUGUUAAAAAAACCCCUCCUUGUGCACCUUGUGUAGACCUCUUGGAUGAACAGAUCGUAUCAAAGUUUAAACAAUUCUUUGGUGAGAUGGCAAUUGCUGUGUGGUUUUAAAAGCUCAGCUGUUCAGCCUGUGUUCAAA